CCUACGGGAUGCAGCAGUGAGGAAUAUUGGUCAAUGGACGAGAGUCUGAACCAGCCAAGUAGCGUGAAGGAUGACUGCCCUAUGGGUUGUAAACUUCUUUUAUAAAGGAAUAAAACGAGGCACGUGUGCCUUUUUGCAUGUACUUUAUGAAUAAGGAUCGGCUAACUCCGUGCCAGCAGCCGCGGUAAUACGGAGGAUCCGAGCGUUAUCCGGAUUUCUUGGGUUUAAAGGGAGCGUAGAUGGGUUGUUAAGUCAGUUGUGAAAGUUUGCGGCUCAACCGUAAAAUUGCAAUUGAUACUGGCAGUCUUGAGUACAGUUGAGGUAGGCGGAAUUCGUGGUGUAGCGGUGAAAUGCUUAGAUAUCACGAAGAACUCCGAUUGCGAAGGCAGCUUACUAAACUGCCACUGACAUUGAUGCUCGAAAGUGUGGGUAUCAAACAGGAUUAGAUACCCGAGUAGUC
rnacentral:rRNA from 1 species